rnacentral:rRNA from 1 species
GUUAACGCUGGCGGUAGGCCUAACACCUGCAAGUCGAACGGCAGCACAGUAAGCGCUUGCUCUUACGGGUGGCGAGUGGCGGACGGGUGAGGAAUACAUCGGAAUCUACUUUUUCGUGGGGGAUAACGUAGGGAAACUUACGCUAAUACCGCAUACGACCUACGGGUGAAAGCAGGGGAUCUUCGGACCUUGCGCGAUUGAAUGAGCCGAUGUCGGAUUAGCUAGUUGGCGGGGUAAAGGCCCACCAAGGCGACGAUCCGUAGCUAGUCUGAGAGGAUGAUCAGCCACACUGGAACUGAGACACGGUCCAGACUCCUACGGGAGGCAGCAGUGGGGAAUAUUGGACAAUGGGCGCAAGCCUGAUCCAGCCAUACCGCGUGGGUGAAGAAGGCCUUCGGGUUGUAAAGCCCUUUUGUUGGGAAAGAAAAGCAGCAGGUUAAUACCCCGCUGUUCUGACGGUACCCAAAGAAUAAGCACCGGCUAACUUCGUG